rnacentral:rRNA from 1 species
UGGGGAAUCAUGGUCAAUGGGCGAAAGCCUGAACCUGCGACGCCGCGUGAGUGAUGAAGGUCGUAAGAUCGUAAAACUCUUUUCAGGGAUCUUAAAGGCAGCGCUCUAACAUAGCGUCUGCUGUGACUAUCCCUGGAAUAAGCCCCAGCCAACUACGUGCCAGCAGCUGCGGUAAUACGUAGGGGGCGAGCGUUAUUCGGAAUUACUGGGUGUAAAGGGUAUGUAGGCGGUUCCUCAAGUCGCUUGUCAAAGUCCAGUGCUUAACGCUGGGUGCGCACGCGAUACUGAAGAACUAGAGUGCUGGAGAGGUGAGCGGAAUUCCCGGUGUAGUGGUAAAAUACGUAGAUAUCGGGAGGAACACCAGCGGCGUAGGCGGCUCACUAGACAGUUUCUGACGCUAAGAUACGAAAGCGUGGGGAGCAAACA